AAGAAGAAUUGGACAACGCCCAUCGUCGUCCAGAGUGAAGUCCCUACCACGUCCCCGACCGCGCGUGCAUGUUGGAUCAAACAAAACCUGUUUUCGCGGAGUAGCCUACUAUCGUACUAUCCCCAGCAGAACCCGCAGCCUUCUCCUCUUGAAAUGUGCUGCCUGGACGGAGCAAGGUUAUUGCUGCAGCUUUGCCGCGCCGCGGAAGCGCAUCACCCAACGGAGCGCCGCGCUACGUGAACGAUCCUCUCGCGUGGAAUUCCUCUCCCUUGCCGGCGCACAAGUGUGUGGUGUCUGGUUACAAAGUUAUUGCGACACUUAUAUACCGAAGCCGCUGACGGCUUUGUUAACUCAGCCCCGUCUGAAGAAGAAAAGCUCGAGUUUACGCCGUGUUUGUUUGGACAAAUGUCGAACGGAACGGCAUCCAGCCGCGACGCAGUGAGGUACGCCCCGGCUGCCUUUGACGAGGCCGACGCCGACAGUCAUCCGUACGGAGGCAUGUGAUACCUAUCCUCGACCCCUGGACCAGUACAAACACCAGCAGGAGUAAUUCGGGAUGCACAACUGGCAGUUAAACUAAACACGGACAUCAAUGGCGUGAAGGGGCCCUCACCUCUGACGAACCUGAUGGGAUUUGACAUUGUCUGGGGCUACACGGUGGACUAUAUGCAUUGUGUGCACCAGGGAGUCUCAAAGCAGAUAACCGAGUUCCUCGUCAGCUCAUCCCACUCACAGGCAUUUUUCUACAUCGAACACCUUCUGCAACAGUUUGUGGAUAGUGCUGCAAGUCUGUAUGGUGAAUCAUUUAUGCGUUUUAACAUUCACCAACUGCUUCACCUUGGAAAGGCGGCAUGGCAGAUGGGCCCGCUGUGGGCACAUUCAGCCUUUGUCUUUGAAUCCGGCAAUGGGAGCAUCCUCAACCUUGUAACAGCAGCUAAAGGAGUACCACUACAAAUUGUUGAGAGGGCAUUAAUGGCUCAACAAGUGGAUGCAAUUGUAAAUGCUGACAGCUGCCUCAAAAACUCACAGAAAUUGCCAAGCGACUUCUAGGGGAAAAAAAAGUCCAGAAGAGCACUUAUGUUAGGGAGGUGUGCCUUCUCGGCACGGGCAAAGUUGUCGUUUUCACGUUGGCGGAGCAAGAGAAACAACAUGUUCAUGUUCAUGAACAUGUUCGGACAAUCCUCAAGGACUGGCCAUGAGUACCUAAGAGUGAUAUGCAAAGGUAUAAAGAGUAUCACAGUGUAAACUAUGUGAGAGCUGUCAAAUCUGACACAACAGUAUUUUCUAGAACAGAAGGCCUUUACUUUAUUAUUAACAAAAUUGUCACCCUAACUAUCGCAGACAAAGAGAAAAGUGUCCUGUUCUGCACAAAAGUAGUGCCCAUUGAAUCAGCUCAGUUUCUUGGCCACAUAAAAGAAUGCUUUGUGUCACAGCUUCUGACACCUUCUGUGAUUGAUUCAGAUGACAUUGAGGGCUGCUGCCUUUUGAUGGACUUCAGCUUUGAGGAUUGCAUGUACAUUGCGAACCUCCCAAAUUAUAUUGAAAGGGACUAAUGUCAUGUCUUUGAAACUUUCGAAAAGGACAACAAGUAUAAACUGAUAUUUACCAGGUCCACUGCUGACUUCUAGAUCUCUACUCGACGGUUCACCUCUACUGCUGUGAGGACGAGCAGACGGGAGGAGGGACUUCUUCACCCACAGCGUUGUUUAAACAGGACUGUGGGUAACAAACCCUGGGUUGAGAAGUAUUUAUUCCUUCUUUCUGCUGCCUUCACAGCAGUCGAGGCGAACCAUAAGUCAAGCUAGCCAACUCAGCGGUGAACCUGGAGGAUAACAGUGCAACCUGUUGGUCUUUCUCAGCUUCCUAAGACCAUCUUUAUUGCUUUUUACGAAAGUUUGUUGUCUUGUUUUGGGCAACUGUAAAGCUGGGUAAAGUGAAGCAUUCCUUUUUGUAUCAAAAAGCAAAGCAAACUUGUGAGCAUUUCAUUACACAACCUGAGAUCGGCAACUGGUUUUGAAAUUUGGCGACACUGGUUCAUGCUGUAGAUGAGAAAAUUAGCAAGGGCUGUAUGGCUGCUGGUCUGAAGUAUUUAACAUGUGUCACACAGCUGCGAUAUCAAAAGCAUGUGCCAGUACAAUGCUCAUGAAGAUCGAAAUGGGCCAGGAUCCUUGGAGUUCGUGGGUGACAGCAUUUGCUUGGAAAGAAUGGUGCAGAAAGAAAGGACAAACCAGAAACAUCCUCUUAUUUGACAUGACCUCUUUGACCCUCUCUAUUCUUUACCUACACUUAUAUAGUUCUUGAUUUUAACAAACAAAAACCAUGAGUUGUGCUAUAAUUCAACAUUUUUGUCAAUAAAAAUGUUUUUUGGUGGAUGCUUUUCAACAGGAUUCUCUAUUUACUUGGAAUGGAGAGCGUGCUGGUAACGAUAAUAUAAAUAAAGGGACGAACAUAAAACACAAGGACGGACAAGACGAUUUCCCAACUGGCAGCAGAUGUUUAAUGACAACUUUGACGACCCUUCUUUACAUCACUUGUAUUCGGAUUGUCUUACUUUCAGCGUUCAGUGCACAUUAAACUAGCAAAUUUAGAAGCCAUAUAAACAUCUUGCCGGGAGCCUUCCGUAAUGAUGAUCUCGCAUGCAAGUAAACUGAAAAAGCUAUCUUUUACCAUAAAAUGCUAUCAGAGAUAGUUAAGUGCAUAACUAUAUGAUACACUAAGUUUGCCAGCAUUCUGAUGAAGCUCGUCGGAACUGGGGGGUGUAUUCACUUUUAUGCAUCCAAAGCACAUGUGCAUACUUGCAAUAAACAUUUGUGAGCAAA
rnacentral:lncRNA from 1 species